rnacentral:rRNA from 1 species
UACGAAGGGGGCUAGCGUUGUUCGGAAUUACUGGGCGUAAAGCGCACGUAGGCGGAUUGUUAAGUGAGGGGUGAAAUCCCAGGGCUCAACCCUGGAACUGCCUCUCAUACUGGCAAUCUCGAGUUCGAGAGAGGUGAGUGGAAUUGCGAGUGUAGAGGUGAAAAUUCGUAGAUAUUCGCAGGAACACCAGUGGCGAAGGCGGCUCACUGGCUCGAUACUGACGCUGAGGUGCGAAAGCGUGGGGAGCAAACAGG